UACAUGGGGUGCAAACGUUGCUCGGAAUCAUUGGGCGUAAAGCGCGCGUAGGCGGUUACUUAUGUCGGAUGUGAAAGCCCUCGGCUUAACUGAGGAAGUGCAUUCGAAACUGGGUAGCUAGAGUACUAAAGAGGGUCGCGGAAUUCCGGGUGGAGUGGUGAAAUGCGUAGAGAUCCGGAGGAACACCGAAGGCGAAGGCAGUGUCCUGGCUGGUGACUGACGCUGAGGUGCGAAAGCUAGGGGAGCGAACGGG
rnacentral:rRNA from 1 species